rnacentral:misc_RNA from 1 species
AACGCACAUUGCGCCCCUUGGUAUUCCGAGGGGCAUGCCUGUUCGAGCGUCAUUUCAACCCCUCAAGCUCAGCUUGGUGUUGGGCUGCGCCAGCGUCGCUGGCGGGCCUUAAAAUCAGUGGCGGUGCCGUUUGGGCUCCAAGCGUAGUAGCAUCUCUCGCUCUGGAGACCCGGCGGUUGCUUGCCAGACAAUCACUAAAAAAACAAAGGUUUGACCUCGGAUCAGGUAGGGAUACCCGCUGAACUUAA